rnacentral:lncRNA from 1 species
GCAGCUUAUGAGUCGGGCGCAGUCCUUGUUUUUGUGCCGACACCUUUUUCUGUUUUGGUGCUGCGUCACCCUAUUUUGGACCAAUGGCCCAUGUAUCAAGUUGAGUCCAUUAGGGACGCAUCCUAGGGUUGGAGGACGACUCUAGCACCCCUUUGGUCGUCCUCCCCUCUAUUUAUUUACAUCUAGAGCCGCCAUGAACAACUGGGUUUUGAUUAGAUAAAGUUUAGCCUUCGCUACUUGCUUGUAAGCGCGCGUGCUGAUCCAGCCGCCCGUCUUCUUGUUUUCGAAACCCCACUUCAUUAGAGAUUGAGUUUGAAACCUUCAUUUACAUCUAGUAAUUUAGUACUUGUUUCCUCGUUCUUGCUAGUUCUUUGAUUGUUUGCAGGACGAGUGCCCUAGUGGCCGGGUGUUGCGCUCCACAAGAUCGUGACAGCCAUUGGAGGUGGUGUAUCGGUUGCUAAGGCGCGGUCUUGAGGGCUGUAGUCGGGCCGUGAACGUCAUCUUCAUCCACCAAUCGAUUUAUCCAGCGCCUCUCAUCGAAAGAUCAGGCGAAAACCCUAGUGGGUUCACAUCAGUUGGUAAUCAGAGCAAGGUUUAUUGGUGAGAGAUUUCCAAUUCUUCGUGUUUGUUUUUCCUAUAGUCCAAAAAAAGCCAAAAAAUAUAGCAGAUUUGUUUUCCAUAAUCCUAUAAAUCCUUUGUGCCGUGGCUAGUACUACUUAGUUAGGGCUGGUUGAAUGAGUGUUUGCUUCAGUCGUGUCCAGUGCUGGUUUUAGUUUAGUCCUUUAGAGUUUUGAGUUCUUGUCACCAUCUAGUCACAACUGCGUCCAAUCUAUUGUGGGUUGGAAUUUGAGUAGAUCUUGAUAAUAGGUGCAGCCACUUGUUGGUCUAUUCUGUGUUUCCAUCAACGUGAUCCAAAAGGAAAGAUAGCACUUCAUACUUGUGCUAGAUAUAUUGAAUUUUGAGGUUCAGCCUUACUCUAGUGAGAGGGUGAGAGUGGUGAAGUGAUAUUUUGUACUAUUUUGUUUAUAUAAUCAGGUUUUGAGGUUCCCCAAAAAAAAGAAAAGAGAAAGAAAAAAAAAGAAAGAAAGAAAGAAAAAAAAUCAAAAAAAGGGGAUUGUUGUUCCUUUUUGUUUCCAGUAGGGCUGCUCAUUUUAUUUCUAGUGGUGUGCUGUAUUUUUCCUUUGUGUCCAGGCUCGCGUCUCUAGCACGGUCUAGGCUAGGACCAGCACAGUACCACCGUUGAGCGUUUAUUGAACUUGCUUUUUAUAACUAACGUGGUGCUAGUUCGAUCCUUGUUUCAGCCCACCUAUAGCUCCACAUAUUCUACAGCUUGAUAGGUUUUGUUGCUGCGGCACCGAUACACUUCGUCCAUUGCUGUGGAUUUGUUGGUAGCCAAUCCCUCCUGUUGAGCAAGGUAAGAAUUGGUAAGAACUUGUUAGACAGGUUGAUAGAGAGCGUCUUACAGUAGCCACAUCCUAAUAGCUGUAGGGUUUUUAUUUCUUCACCUAUUUUUCUUGUUUCCACUGUGUGUUUUUUUAAACCAUGUCAGAGACAGAGGAUACCAACAAAAUUCCACAGUCACCUCGCACUAAGGGCAUCAUACAACAUUUUGAAAGGCAAGUGAAGCUACACACAGAGGGACUUGAUGACGACUUGAAGGUGACGAAUGACAAGCUUGGGCAGUUGGAGGACACGCAGAUUGCCACAAACAACAAGAUUACAAAGAUGGAGGCAUCUAUUACUAGUAUGGAUAAAAGUCUUGCUGCUCUUCUCAAACGCUUUGAUGACUUCCACACAAUGGACAAAGAGAAGCAUAAGGAAGAAAACAAGGAGGAAGACCGAGUGGAUGGCAAUUAUGAUGAUGAUUACACUGCUGAUACGGAACGAGAUGAUCAAGACACUCAUCAUCGACGUCGCCUACGUCACACCCGUAGAGGUAUGGGUGGCCACCACCGACGCGAGGUACACAAUAAUAAUGAUGCUUUCAGUAAGAUUAAAUUUAAAAUACCUCCUUUUGAUGGUAAAUAUGACCCUGAUGCAUACAUUACUUGGGAGAUUGCUGUUGACCAAAAGUUUACAUGUCAUGAAUUCCCUGAGGAUACACGUGUUAGGGCUGCUACUAGUGAGUUCACCGAUUUUGCUUCCGUUUGGUGGAUAGAACAUGGCAAGAAAAAUCCUAAUAACAUACCUAGAACUUGGAAUGCGUUGAAACAAGUCAUGAGGGCUAGAUUUGUUCCUUCUUACUAUGCACGUGACAUGAUUAAUAAGUUGCAGCAAUUGAGACAAGGUGCUAAAAGUGUAGAAGAAUAUUAUCAGGAAUUACAAAUGGGUAUGCUGCGAUGUAAUUUAGAGGAGGAAGAAGAACCUGCUAUGGCUAGAUUUUUGGGCGGGUUAAAUCGUGAAAUCCAGGACAUUCUUGCUUAUAAAGAUUAUACUAACGUAACCCGUUUGUUUCAUCUUGCUUGUAAAGCUGAAAGGGAAGUGCAGGGACGACGUUCACAUGAUUCUUCCACAAAUACAGCAACUAAAUCAGCCCAGAGACCAAUCGCUAGUGCCUCCUCGGUUAAUUCCACAGGAAGAACAAGAGAUGUUCAGUGUCAUCGAUGCAAGGGCUAUGGGCACGUACAGCGAGAUUGUCCAAACAAGCGUGUUUUGGUGGUUAACGCUGAUGGUGGGUAUUCCUCUGCUAGUGAUUUUGAUGACAAUACACGUGCUUUGCUUGCUGCUGAUGAUACAGGUAGGGAUGAAGCAAUAGAAGAGCAGAUAGGUGCAGAGAAUGUAGAGCAUUAUGAGAGUCUUAUUGUGCAGCGUGUGCUUAGUGCUCAAGCGGAGAAGGUAGAGCAGAAUCAGCGGCAUACAUUGUUCCAAACAAAGUAUGUUAUUAAAGAGCGUUCUUGUCGUUUGAUUAUUGAUGGAGGUAGCCGCAACAACUUGGCUAGCAGCAACAUGGUGGAGAAGCUUGCACUUACCACCAAACCACAUCCACAUCCAUAUCACAUUCGGUGGCUGAACAACAGUGGUAAGGCCAAGGUAACAAAACUGGUGCGAAUUAAUUUUACUAUUGGUUCAUACCAUGAUGUUGUUGAAUGUGAUGUUGUACCUAUGGAAGCUUGUAAUAUUCUGCUAGGUAGACCAUGGCAAUUUGAUAAGGAAUGUAUACAUCAUGGUAGAUCAAAUCAGUAUUCGUUUAUGCACCAUGAUAUGAAAAUUGUUUUGCUACCUAUGUCUCCCGAAGCUAUCGUACGUGAUGAAGUUGCUAAAAUUACCAAGGCUAAAAUUAAGAACAAUGCAGAUGCCAAUGGAAAUAACAAAGAUGAGAUAAGAUUAAAUGGACAUUGCAUGCUUGCUACUAAAUUUGAUGUUAAUGAACUAAUUGUUUCCACAUCUACUGCUUAUGCUUUGGUAUGUAAGGGUGUUUUGAUUUCAAUUGAAGAUAUGCUGCAUUCUUUGCCCCCUGCUGUUCAUAACAUUUUGCAGGAGUAUGCUGAUGUUUUUCCAAGUGAGAUACCGGCAGGGCUGCCACCUAUACGUGGGAUUGAGCACCAAAUUGAUCUUAUUCCUGGUGCAUCUUUGCCAAACCGCGCGCCAUACAGGACAAAUCUAGAGGAAACAAAAGAGAUCCAGUGGCAAGUGCAAGAACUCCUCGACAAAGGUUAUGGAAUUGAGGUUGAUCAAGCCAAGGCAGAAGCUAUACAGGGAUGGCCUGUACCAAAGACAAUCACCCAGGUGCGGAGUUUCUUAGGACUUGCUGGGUUUUAUCGCCGUUUUGUGAAGGAUUUCAGCACCAUUGCUGCACCAUUGAAUGAGCUUACAAAGAAGGGAGUGCCUUUUGUGUGGAGCAAAGUACAAGAGAAUUCCUUCAACAUGUUAAAAGAUAAGUUAACACAUGCACCUCUCCUACAGCUUCCUGAUUUUAAUAAGACUUUUGAGCUUGAGUGUGAUGCUAGUGGGAUUGGUUUGGGAGGUGUUUUGCUACAAGAGGGUAAACCUGUUGCAUAUUUUAUUGAGAAAUUGAGUGGGCCUGUUCUGAACUAUUCAACUUAUGAUAAAGAAUUGUAUGCUCUUGUCCGAACUUUAGAAACAUGGCAACAUUAUUUGUGGCCCAAAGAGUUUGUUAUUCAUUCUGAUCAUGAAUCUUUAAAACAUAUUCGUAGUCAAGGAAAACUAAAUCGCAGACAUGCUAAGUGGGUAGAAUUUAUUGAAUCCUUUCCUUAUGUUAUUAAGCACAAGAAAGGGAAGGAGAAUAUCAUUGCUGAUGCUUUGUCAAGGAGAUAUACUUUGCUAAAUCAACUUGAUUACAAGAUUUUUGGAUUAGAAACGAUCAAAGACCAAUAUGUUCAUGAUGCUGAUUUUAAUGAAGUGUUGCUGCGUUGUAAAGAUGGAAAAGGAUGGAUCAAAUUCAUCGUUAGUGAUGGGUUUGUGUUUAGAGCUAACAAGCUAUGCAUUCCAGCUAGCUCUGUUCGUUUGUUGUUGUUACAGGAAGCUCAUGGAGGAGGUUUGAUGGGACAUUUUGGAGCAAAGAAGACGGAGGACAUACUUGCUGAUUUGAAACCAUAUUUGGGUGAGGAACAUGAGCUUGAGUUGAGGACGACUCAAAUCCAAGAAAGGGAGGAUGAUGAGGACAUCAACACCAUCGAUAUAUCCACACCUACACCAGUUGGUCCUCUUACUCAUGCUCGUGCCCGUCAACUCAACCUUCAAGUAAGUUCAGUUUUAAACUCUUGUCAAACAUAUUUAGACAAUGGAGACACGUGCACUUUCGUGUUGCUCAGGAAUAAUGGACAAGAUCAGCAAGGGAAGGUUCAACUGCAUUCGGAAUUUGAGGCAACACCAACUUCAAGGGCUGAUUGCAUAUGGGAAGAGUGAUAACUUAACAAAGGUGAUUGGAGAUCAGGUCCAAGCCUCCACAACAUCCUCUAUCAAGUUACCACGUCGCUUCUAAAUCAAGGAAACAAAGAGUCCAAAACCAACACGUUUUGGGAGUUGGAUUCGGACUGGAAAAUAACUCUAACUUGUAUGGAUCACCACGGCGUCAUAUGGACUCCAACUGGGACGUUCCUAUACUUGUUGGAAAGCCCAUGAAGUCUACUUUCCAAUGGGUCCAACCACAUAUCUAUGCAGCUUAUGAGUCGGGCGCAGUCCUUGUUUUUGUGCCGACACCUUUUUCUGUUUUGGUGCUGCGUCACCCUAUUUUGGACCAAUGGCCCAUGUAUCAAGUUGAGUCCAUUAGGGACGCAUCCUAGGGUUGGAGGACGACUCUAGCACCCCUUUGGUCGUCCUCCCCUCUAUUUAUUUACAUCUAGAGCCGCCAUGAACAACUGGGUUUUGAUUAGAUAAAGUUUAGCCUUCGCUACUUGCUUGUAAGCGCGCGUGCUGAUCCAGCCGCCCGUCUUCUUGUUUUCGAAACCCCACUUCAUUAGAGAUUGAGUUUGAAACCUUCAUUUACAUCUAGUAAUUUAGUACUUGUUUCCUCGUUCUUGCUAGUUCUUUGAUUGUUUGCAGGACGAGUGCCCUAGUGGCCGGGUGUUGCGCUCCACAAGAUCGUGACAGCCAUUGGAGGUGGUGUAUCGGUUGCUAAGGCGCGGUCUUGAGGGCUGUAGUCGGGCCGUGAACGUCAUCUUCAUCCACCAAUCGAUUUAUCCAGCGCCUCUCAUCGAAAGAUCAGGCGAAAACCCUAGUGGGUUCACAUCAGUUGGUAAUCAGAGCAAGGUUUAUUGGUGAGAGAUUUCCAAUUCUUCGUGUUUGUUUUUCCUAUAGUCCAAAAAAAAGCCAAAAAAUAUAGCAGAUUUGUUUUCCAUAAUCCUAUAAAUCCUUUGUGCCGUGGCUAGUACUACUUAGUUAGGGCUGGUUGAAUGAGUGUUUGCUUCAGUCGUGUCCAGUGCUGGUUUUAGUUUAGUCCUUUAGAGUUUUGAGUUCUUGUCACCAUCUAGUCACAACUGCGUCCAAUCUAUUGUGGGUUGGAAUUUGAGUAGAUCUUGAUAAUAGGUGCAGCCACUUGUUGGUCUAUUCUGUGUUUCCAUCAACGUGAUCCAAAAGGAAAGAUAGCACUUCAUACUUGUGCUAGAUAUAUUGAAUUUUGAGGUUCAGCCUUACUCUAGUGAGAGGGUGAGAGUGGUGAAGUGAUAUUUUGUACUAUUUUGUUUAUAUAAUCAGGUUUUGAGGUUCCCCAAAAAAAAGAAAAGAGAAAGAAAAAAAAUAAAAAAAAGAAAGAAAGAAAGAAAAAAAAAUCAAAAAAAGGGGAUUGUUGUUCCUUUUUGUUUCCAGUAGGGCUGCUCAUUUUAUUUCUAGUGGUGUGCUGUGUUUUUCCUUUGUGUCCAGGCUCGCGUCUCUAGCACGGUCUAGGCUAGGACCAGCACAGUACCACCGUUGAGCGUUUAUUGAACUUGCUUUUUAUAACUAACGUGGUGCUAGUUCGAUCCUUGUUUCAGCCCACCUAUAGCUCCACAUAUUCUACAGCUUGAUAGGUUUUGUUGCUGCGGCACCGAUACACUUCGUCCAUUGCUGUGGAUUUGUUGGUAGCCAAUCCCUCCUGUUGAGCAAGGUAAGAAUUGGUAAGAAUCUUGAUGAAAGAUAGGUGUACGGUUUGCAUGGAACGUACCAUAUUCUCAGAAAUCAAUUUGGACGCACCCAAUAGAACUCCUAGAUCAUGUGUGUCAUAUGGAAUCUCGCUUCGGUCUGUUUGGAGACAGUGUUAGUUUAGGUGAAAGAUUGGUGCUUGGUUUGCGCAUAAUGCACCAUAGGCUCAGAAACCAUUAUGGAUGCACCUGAUGAUAAUCCUAGGUGAAGAGGCUCAAGUGGAAGGUCGGUUCCAUAUGUUUGGAGAUAGUGCUAAUCUUGAUACAAGAUAGGUGCACGAUUUGCAUGGAACGUACCAUAUUCUUAGAAAUCAAUUUGGACGCACCCGAUAGAACUCCUAGAUCAUGUGUUUCAUAUGGAAUCUCGCUUCAAUCUGUUUGGAGACAGUGUUAGUUUAGGAGCAAGAUUGGUGCAUGGUUUGCACAUAAUGCACCAUAGACUCAGAAACCAUUAUGCAAGCACCCGAUGAUAAUCCUAGGUGAAGAGGCUCAAGUGGAAGGUCGGUUCGAUCUGUUUGGAGAUAGUGCUAAUCUUGAUGCAAGAUAGGUGCACGGUUUGCAUGGAACAUACCAUAUGCUAAGAAAUCCAUUUGGACGCACCCCAAUAGAACUCCUAGAUGACAUGUGUCAUAUAGAAUCUCGCUUUGGUCUGUUUGGAGACAGAGUUAGUUUUGGUCCAAGAUAGGUACAUAGUUUGCGCCU